rnacentral:rRNA from 1 species
UAAUACGGAGGGUGCAAGCGUUAUCCGGAUUUACUGGGUUUAAAGGGUGCGUAGGCGGGACUUUAAGUCAGCGGUGAAAGCUCCAAGCUUAACUUGGAAAUUGCCGUUGAUACUAUUGUUCUUGAAUUCGGUUGAGGUUGGCGGAAUGUGUCGUGUAGCGGUGAAAUGCUUAGAUAUGACACAGAACACCGAUUGCGAAGGCAGCUAGCUAAACCGAUAUUGACGCUGAGGCACGAAAGUGUGGGGAUCAAACAGGAUUAGAAACCCUGGUAGUCCACACCCUAAACGAUGAUUACUCGAUGUUGGCGAUACACAGCCAGCGUCUAAGCAAAAGCAUUAAGUAAUCCACCUGGGGAGUACGACCGCAAGGUUG